UGUUACUGAAGUGAGAGAUGGAGCAGUAGGCUUAAAAUGGGGUCGAGGGCGCAAAAGCUUACGUUUUCAACAGGAAUGGACCAACACAGUAAGGCAGGCCAAGCCAUAAAAGAGAAAGAAUAGAGACACUGUCAGAUAAAGGAAGAAAGAGUGCGAGAGAGACAAAAACAGGGAAUAGAUCAGUUUGGCAAGCUGAUAAAAAAAAAAGAGCAUGCCUUAAAAUGAGGGUGAACAGUGGAGAGUAAAACAGAACUGUACAGAGAGAGAGAGAGAGAGAGAGAGAGAGAGAGGCCUGAAAGACAGACAUUAGAUGAUUAAAUUGAAUCCACAGGGGUGUGACAGAAUUGUCAUAAGGAAUGAAGAAAAGCAAGACGAACUUUGACGCUGUCAGUGUUUGCAUAAUUAUGAGCGAGCAUACACACCUGUGUGAGUUGGAGCGCGUGACACAGCACAGAGAUGAAGGGUUUUAUCUUAAGGCUGCUGUCCAUCCUUAUUUUCGCCUGCUUCGGCAGUGUGCUGCUCUGGCACUACUUUACUCACAGAGAUCCAGUUGUCAUCCGUCCAAAUGACGUUAACCAAAAACCUGUCAACAGCAUUGAUGUGGCUGCCAGCGAUCCACUCAAGGUUCAACAACAACCUGCAAAGAGAAAUGACAUUGUUGACCGACUGAUAGCAAGUUACUCUACCAGCUGGAAAAAGCAUGAGCAGAAUCUUCAAUCCUAUAGGUCAUUGCUAAGCAACAAAUGCAAUGCCAUUUCCGCAGCUGUGGUUACCCAGCACAACUCACCCACAGGGACAAAUAUUACUUUUGAUGCAGAUAGGAAAAAGAUAUUGGAGGUGACACCAGCCCUGUACAAUCUAUUUCCCAAGGAAACCCCAUUUAAAAAUGCACCAUGGGACACGUGUGCUGUCGUAGGCAACGGAGGAAUCUUAACCAAUAGCAACUGUGGGAAACAAAUCGACUCUGCCUCAUAUGUCAUCAGGUGUAACCUUCCUCCAUUGAAAAAUGGACAUGAGAAAGAUGCAGGAAGUAAAUCAAACAUUGUCACAGCCAACCCCAGCAUCCUCAAUCAGAAGUACGGUGCACUAAACGACCGGCGACGGUUAUUUGUGGAAGAUGUUCAGUUGUAUGGAAACGCCCUGAUCUUGCUGCCUGCCUUCUCUUAUCGGCAAAACACAGCUGUGUCCCUGCGUGCCCUCUACUCCCUGGAGGACUUUGGCUACGAUGGCCCACAGGCAGUCUUCUUUAACCCGGCGUACCUGAGAAACCUGGCAGAAUUUUGGCGUCGUCAGGGACUUCGCUCAAUGCGCCUCAGUACUGGUAUCAUGAUGGCCAGCUUGGCACUGGAGCUCUGCAAAAAUGUUCACCUGUACGGCUUCUGGCCUUUUUCAGUACACCCGUACACCUCCAAGCGGCUCACCAACCACUACUAUGAUAACAAACCAGCAAACAACAUAGUGCACGCCAUGUCGGCUGAGUUUGAAGCCUUGCUGAAUCUGCAUAACAAGGGAGUGAUCCAUCUGCAUAUAGGAGAGUGUACGAAUUAAACUAUGUGGACUUCCUAAUAAUCUGUGCCUCAGUUGUACCAUGAUCUCAGCCACAGAACUAAUUAUCAAAGGGUGUGAUCACUUAUGGCAUGGAUGGGCUACAACACAAGAGGAUCACAUCCAGUUCCUGACAAGAACAGGAAUCUGAGGCUACAGCCUGCACAGGAUCAGUGAAACUGUACUGGUGAAUAUUACCAUUACCUGGUUUGAUGAAUCUUGUUUUCUGCUGCCACGUUCAGAUGGUCACUCUGAAUUUGGCAUCGACAGCAUGAAUCAUGGACACAGUGCCGACUGUCGAUGGUGUUAUAAUGAGGAAGGGAGGAAUGUUCUGCUUUGGCACACAUUGGGCAGCUUAAAACAAACUGAGCAUCAUUUAAAUGAGCAUCAACAGAAUAUCUCAGCAUUCAUGAUGAUAAUAGCUCCAACAUGAUAAUGAACCAUUUCACAAAUCACAUGUCAUCGCAAGCUACUGAGCUGUCAUGAGCAGGACAAUGAGUUCAGUGUGCUUCAGUGGCCUUCCAAUGUCACCCCGAUCUGAAUCCAACAGAGCAUUUUUGGGAUGUGGAAAAUCUGCAGAAGUGAUGUAAUGCAGUCAUGUCAUUGCAAACUAGAAUCUCAAAGUACUGUUUCUAACACCUUGUAGAAUCUAUACCAUGAAGAAGUUCGGUUCAAUCCAAUAUUAGUAUGCAGUUCCUAAUUAAGUGACCAAUGUUUUUAUAUAUUAAAAAAAACCAACUGUUAAUAUACCCAGUCUCUGUCAUAAUGGACUAGAGAUUCAGCUUUUAUAAACAGCCACUCUAUAGCUGAAAUGUCAUGGCCCUAAUAUAAAAAUGUGGUUUCAGCUGCAUUCCCAGGACAAAGGAUUUAAUCUAAUUAAAUGACAUCUGCUGCAAAAGACUAAAGUCACUGUGAUAAAAUUAUGGGCUGAAAAAAAUCAUGAAAAAAUUAGGUUUUUCUGCAAAUAGCUUACUUUUGAAAAAAUGUAAUUUAAAUAAAUUCAGUUACCUA